rnacentral:other from 1 species
AGAGUCCUGAAGUGUUCGUUGGGUAACCUGAAAUUUUGACCUAACAUUUUACCCUUGGGAAUUCGGAGUGACCGUUUGGCGUAAAUGCCUUUCCACGAGGACUUACAACAAUCGGGACAGAAUACCCACCUGCUGAGAGCAGGAUCAAAACGAGGGAAUCUAACUACGGCACAAUUGGGACUCUC